GUACGCUGGCGGCACGCCUAACACAUGCAAGUCGAACGAAGUAGCAAUACUUAGUGGCAGACGGGUGAGUAACAUGUAGGUAUCUACCCUUUGGCCUGGAAUAACACGAGGAAACUUGUGCUAAUACCGGAUAAGUCUUUACAGAGAAAGCUUUAUGCACCAUUGGAUGAGCCUGCACUUGAUUAGUUUGUUGGUGGGGUAAUGGCCUACCAAGACUGUGAUCAAUAGCUGAUUUGAGAGGAUGAUCAGCCACAUUGGGACUGAGACACGGCCCAAACUCCUACGGGAGGCAGCAGUGGGGAAUCUUGCACAAUGGAGGAAACUCUGAUGCAGCGAUGCCGCGUGAGUGAAGAAGGCCUUUGGGUUGUAAAACUCUUUCGUCGGGGAAGAAAAUGACUGUACCCGAAUAAGAAGGUCCGGCUAACU
rnacentral:rRNA from 1 species